rnacentral:lncRNA from 11 species
CUCUUGCGCGCCUUGCGGUGCCGGAGCAGCUCCAUCCAAAAACGUGCCGCUGUUCUCUGGCGGAGGGAUCCUUCGCCUCGCUUCAUGUGUGGUGCGGCUCCUCCUUCGCUCGCUCUCUGCUGCCUCCUAGAUAUAGCCAGGCGCGGAGAGGCGCUUGCAGUCAUUGCUGAGCGGCGCUGCUCGGGAGCUGGAGUUUUCCCCAGGCUGUCUGUGUGUGUGUGUGUGUGUGUUGUCUCUCUCGCUCUCCUCCUUCGCCUGGGUCGGGUCUCUGGAAGGAAGGAAGGGGCUGAGAGGCAAAGUCGAAGCGGCCGGAGCUGGCUUUUUCCCAGCGCUCCGCACCCUCUGAACUUGGGAACUGUCCACCGGCGAAAGCUCCUGAAAAUGACCCUGCUGGCCAUCUACCUGCUGGGAUUGUUCCUCGGGAGCGGGCAAGGAUCAUGGAAUUUCUCAGAAAUAUUCAUAACAAAUAUAUAGUGGAACCUUGACUUAAGAGCAUCCCAACUUAAGAGAUGUCACUCGGUCUUGCUCCUGCUUUGACAU